rnacentral:rRNA from 1 species
CGCGUAGGCGGCCUGCUAAGUCAUACGUGAAAUCCCUCGGCUCAACCGAGGAACUGCGUGUGAUACUGGCGGGCUUGAAUUCGGGAGAGGGAUGCGGAAUUCCAGGUGUAGCGGUGAAAUGCGUAGAUAUCUGGAGGAACACCGGUGGCGAAGGCGGCAUCCUGGACCGAGAUUGACGCUGAUGCGCGAAAGCCAGGGGAGCAAACGGGAUUAGAUACCCCGGUAGUCCUGGCCCUAAACGAUGAAUGCUUGGUGUGGCGGGUAUCGAUCCCUGCCGUGCCGAAGCUAACGCAUUAAGCAUUCCGCCUGGGGAGUACGGUCGCAAGGCUGAA